rnacentral:rRNA from 1 species
AGUAAUGUAUGGGGAUCUGCCCGAUAGAGGGGGAUAACUACUGGAAACGGUGGCUAAUACCGCAUAACGUCUACGGACCAAAGCAGGGGCUCUUCGGACCUUGCACUAUCGGAUGAACCCAUAUGGGAUUAGCUAGUAGGUGGGGUAAAGGCUCACCUAGGCGACGAUCUCUAGCUGGUCUGAGAGGAUGAUCAGCCACACUGGGACUGAGACACGGCCCAG